GUAGUUGUAGCUCAGUGGUAGAGCUCUUGCCUAGCAAGUCUGAGGCCCUGGGUUCAAUCCUCAGCACCACA
rnacentral:tRNA from 1 species